GUGAUCAAGCGACGCCGCGUGCGGGAUGAAGGUCUUCGGAUUGUAAACCCCUGUCACUCGGGAUCAAAACCUUUGACUUAACACGUCAAGGGCUGAUAGUACCGAGAGAGGAAGGCACGGCUAACUUCGUGCCAGCAGCCGCGGUAAGACGAAGGUGGCGACCGUUGUUCGGAAUCACUGGGCAUAAAGAGCUCGUAGGCGGUGAAGAAAGUCGGGUGUGAAAUCCCUCGGCCCAACCGAGGAACUGCGCCCGAAACUACUUUGCUUGAGGACGGAAGGGGAGCGUGGAAUUCCUGGUGGAGCGGUGAAAUGCGUUGAUAUCAGGAGGAACACCGGCGGCGAAGGCGACGCUCUGGUCCGUAUCUGACGCUGAGGAGCGAAAGCUAGGGGAGCAAACGGGAUUAGAUACCCCGGUAGUCCUAGCCGUAAACGAU
rnacentral:rRNA from 1 species